UACGUAGGGACCGAGCGUUGUCCGGAAUCAUUGGGCGUAAAGAGCGUGUAGGCGGCCUUUUAAGUCCUGCGUGAAAUCCUGCGGCUCAACCGCAGACGGUCGUGGGAAACUGGAAGGCUAGAGUGCGGGAGAGGAGAGUGGAAUUCCCGGUGUAGCGGUGAAAUGCGCAGAUAUCGGGAAGAACACCCGUGGCGAAGGCGGCUCUCUGGAACGCAACUGGCGCUGAGACGCGAAAGCGUGGGGAGCAAACAGG
rnacentral:rRNA from 1 species